GAUGAACGCUGGCGGCGUGCCUAAUACAUGCAAGUCGAGCGAACAGACGAGGAGCUUGCUCCUCUGACGUUAGCGGCGGACGGGUGAGUAACACGUGGAUAACCUACCUAUAAGACUGGGAUAACUUCGGGAAACCGGAGCUAAUACCGGAUAAUAUAUUGAACCGCAUGGUUCAAUAGUGAAAGACGGUUUCGCUGUCACAUAUAGAUGGAUCCGCGCCGCAUUAGCUAGUUGGUAAGGUAACAGCUUACCAAGGCAACGAUGCGUAGCCGACCUGAGAGGGUGAUCGGCCACACUGGAACUGAGACACGGUCCAGACUCCUACGGGAGGCAGCAGUAGGGAAUCUUCCGCAAUGGGCGAAAGCCUGACGGAGCAACGCCGCGUGAGUGAUGAAGGUCUUCGGAUCGUAAAACUCUGUUAUUAGGGAAGAACAAAUGUGUAAGUAACUAUGCACGUCUUGACGGUACCUAAUCAGAAAGCCACGGCUAACUACGUG
rnacentral:rRNA from 1 species